GAUGAACGCUGGCGGCGUGCCUAAUACAUGCAAGUCGAGCGAACAGAUAAGGAGCUUGCUCCUUUGACGUUAGCGGCGGACGGGUGAGUAACACGUGGGUAACCUACCUAUAAGACUGGGAUAACUUCGGGAAACCGGAGCUAAUACCGGAUAACAUUGGGAACCGCAUGGUUCUAAAGUGAAAGAUGGUUUUGCUAUCACUUAUAGAUGGACCCGCGCCGUAUUAGCUAGUUGGUAAGGUAACGGCUUACCAAGGCAACGAUACGUAGCCGACCUGAGAGGGUGAUCGGCCACACUGGAACUGAGACACGGUCCAGACUCCUACGGGAGGCAGCAGUAGGGAAUCUUCCGCAAUGGGCGCAAGCCUGACGGAGCAACGCCGCGUGCGUGAUGAAGGGUUUCGGCUCGUAAAACUCUGUUAUUAGGGAAGAACAAGCGUGUAAGUAACUGUGCACGUCUUGACGGUACCUAAUCAGAAAGCCACGGCUAACUACGUG
rnacentral:rRNA from 1 species